rnacentral:ncRNA from 1 species
CUUCGAGCACGAGAAGGGCAUUCGGUGGAUGCCUUGGCACCAGGAGGCGAUGAAGGACGUGGCACGCUGCGAAAAGCCACGGGGAGCCGCGAGCAGGCUUUGAUCCGUGGAUAUCCGAAUGGGGCAACCCACCCCUUUGGGGUAUCGGCGCAUGAAUCCAUAGUGCGUCGAGGCAAACCCGGGGAACUGAAACAUCUCAGUACCCGGAGGAACAGACAUCAACAGAGAUUCCGUCAGUAGUGGCGAGCGAAAGCGGAACAGGCCAGUGGCGUGCGGAGAGGAAGCAGAACGGUCUGGAAAGGCCGGCCAUAGCGGGUGACAGCCCCGUAUGCGUAGCGAUCCGUACGUCCUUGAGUAAGGCGGGACACGUGAAAUCCUGUCUGAACAUGGGGGGACCACCCUCCAAGCCUAAAUACUCCCUGGUGACCGAUAGUGAACAAGUACCGUGAGGGAAAGGUGAAAAGCACCCCGACGAGGGGAGUGAAAGAGACCUGAAACCGAAUGCCUACAAGCAGUCGGAGCCGCUUAUGCGGUGACGGCGUACCUUUUGUAUAAUGGGUCAGCGAGUUUCUGUUGGCAGCGAGCUUAAGCCGUUAGGUGUAGGCGCAGCGAAAGCGAGUCUGAAUAGGGCGCAUAGUUGCCGGCAGAAGACCCGAAACCGAGUGAUCUAGCCAUGGCCAGGCUGAAGGUGGGGUAACACCCACUGGAGGGCCGAACCCACGCCUGUUGAAAAAGUCGGGGAUGAGCUGUGGCU